GGGAAAUAGCUCAGUGGUAGAGCACAUGCUUAGCAUGCAUGAGGUCCUGGAUUCAAUUCCCAACCCCU
rnacentral:tRNA from 1 species